ensembl:lncRNA
AGGGCCAAAUCCGCUGGCCGGAACUGUUUUCACUAUAGGAACAGUGGCCCUGGACUGCAGCGCGCUGCACUGCACAGGCCAGGGCAGCAGCGAACCAAGCCUGUGUCUGAUUGCUCGUUUGUUUGCAAUGUGUUGCACUAAUGGAAUUUAUUUGCCCUACAUUCUCCAGAUGUGGUUCUUUUGAAGGGCCUUAUUACUUGUUACACAAAUUCCUUUCCUGCUAAGGGGUAAAUGGUGCUAAAGACUGUUUUGCCCACUUAGUCUAUUUUUGUUCCUCCCAAUAAAUUAAGCUGUUGCUGAUUUGGCAAUCUGGAUUCUAUCAUUAUCUUGAUGAUAUAAUGAUACAAGCAAACAAACACAUAGGAACUUUGAAAUACUCCAGUUCUGGUUCAAUGACUCAAAAGCCCACUGUAAGAUCACAGUCAUGUUCUGGUAUCCACUCAAUCUACUCCUGCGUUGUUUGAUGUUACUUUUGUGUCCUUUACAUAUAAAUGUGAUUUAAUUUUGUUUCAUGUGGACCUCACACUCAUGUGUAUGUCUUUUCUUUGAUUUACUGCUACAUUUUAUUGAUUUCUGUUUUUGUUUCUGUUUUAAUGUCCUUUGUUGGCUGACUGGGCCUUGUGUUGCAUGUUUGUUGUCAUGUCUCAGUUUGAAUGUAGCCAGACACUCAGCAGAACCAUGGGCAUCCAAGUCAACAAAGGACAAGUCAACCCCAGAGAUCCAGAGCUCCUGGGACGGCUUCAAGACCAUGACCCCCGAGCUGUCCAUCGUGCCUGGGGAGCAGAAGGACCGCAUGGAGCUGCACAAUAAGAACUGGGACUCGUCCUCUGCUAACACACCCGACUCGUCCGAGGGAGACUUCCAGACUGAAGUGUGAAGACAAAUAGAUGUACACACUCACUUGAAUACACACUCUCAUCCUGAGCUGCGGUACAGAUGCACACCGAGAUACUGAACCUCUGAAAAGCUAUACAUAAGUACAGGAUUUUUGACAAAGACCUCACACACAGUGCUCCCCGUCUCCUGCAGUGUGCUCUGUCGGAUCCCAAACUGUGUUUGUUUACUUCUGCAGUGGACAGACAUGGAAAGAAGACUGUUCUACUCUACAGUAUAUUUUCGCAAAGACCAUUGAAAAGAAAGAACAGGAGCUUGGCAACGUCUGGGAUGGAGGAAGAUUUUUAAAUGAACUAUAAAAAAAAAAAAAAGUAUAUGAAAAAGUUAUUUCUGAGAAAAAUGUCUUGAUUUUAUUCUGGAGAAAAAAAAGAAAAUCUCUGUCAAUUGUUUGAGGAUUUUCUAAAAAAAAGAAAAAUAAUAUUUCUGCACUGUUCAGUUCAUUUAUAGCGAGAGGAAGAAAAUCUCACUGAGGUUCUCACAUUGGUAGCCCCCCCAGGCACCCUGCUUUCAUUCCUUUCCCUUUCCUUUCUAAUUGGUGAAGACACCAUUCAAUCUCUUAGACUUUCCUUUUUUUUCUUUUCAUCAUUACAGAUGGAUAGGGGAUGGGGGACAGGGAAAGAGCUGCUCAUUGAUUUGCCAUCCUCUGCUUUUUUCAGGUUCCAGUUCAACAAUCCCAUCCAUCUAUUCCUCUCAUCUUCGUAAAGAUUGUAUCCCCCCUUAUUUUGUGUAUUUUCUAAACAUGUCCUCCCCUAUGGUUUGGAAAUUUGAAUAAGAAAAGAUAUUACGAUUAAAACAAAUAACUACUGGGUUGUGUUCUAUGUUCUGAAGACAGUCCGACUGUUCAGGAAGAAUAUAUUUAUUUUCAGACUGGUUGGGGUUUUUAUCUGGAUCUUUUUUCUUUUUUUUUCCUGUGAGAAUUUACCCAUGUGGAACUUAUAAAAAAAAGGACUUAGGACACACACAGCACAUGAAUGUGAGCUUGCUUUCUGGGGUAAUGUGAGCCGCAUGUCAUCCAACCAUAAGGGAAAAGAAGGAUAGUGAUCGUCAUGCAGAUUCUCCCAUCUCCUUCUUUUUCCCCCCACAGCUUGGAGAUAAAGGCAUUUAAAGACUCCAUCAUCUGAAUCAAUUUCAGCCAUCACCAAUCACAGGGAUGCCAGAAAAAGAUGAUAUCUCAGUCAUUGUCAGCCCAAAUGGAAUCUGUGGUGGCUCUGUUAGAAUCUCUCAUUCCUCAAAAACACAUCACUUGCAGUGAACUAUUGAUCACUUUAGCAGAUAACUUUUUUUCUUCUUUUCCCGGGAACUUAAAACUAAACAUGGCUUCCUUUGCCUUCCGUCUACCGCCUCCUUUCUCCUUCUCUGAUGCUCAUUCUGCCCACCCUGCAUCCCAUUACAUGGGAAGCACGAAAUCUUGAUGUAAGCAGCGAAGCCAGUUGUAUAAUACCCUGUUCACAUGGAAGCCUCUCUGUGUGAUUGCAUCUUGUGAGCACAGCAACUGCCGAAAGAGAGGCAAAAUAAAAUGACAGCGGGAGUCACAGAGGUUGUAAGGUUACAAGGUGACAGACUGAUAGGGAAAAAAACAGCUGGUGGUGAUGUUUCUUGCUUGAUAUUCUACAUCAGUACUUCAGUCGCUGCAAGAGGAGAACCAGUUUCCUGCUGUUGCUACUGUAGCACAUCAGUCCUCCACACUCAGUGUGCAGGAUGAAUUCAAAAGAUCAAAAUCCAAUCACUUUUUAUUUACAAGAACAUUUUAUUAAAGUUUUGUUUUGCGUGAUCGAUAAUAAAGGCACAAGUUGUAGUAAUUGGACGAAUAAAAAUGAAGGGCAAUGGUGAAAUACAAGGCACUAUCAAUCUAUGUGCAAAAAUGUAAAACAGAAAUCAGACGUUUGGUUUUCUAAAAGUCUCAAUGGAGGGGGAAUGUGAUUGAGAGAAGCCUGUUCCAAAGCUUUGGGGGCAAUAACACAAAGGCGCAAUCUCCCGUAACCAUCAGCCUUGAUCAUGGAAUAUUCAAAAACAGCUGUUCAGUGGAUCCAAGAUGCCUAGUUUUGAAGUGGGGGCAGAGAAGUUCUCAAAUGUACAGGGGUGUCAAUCCAUUUUGGUUUGGUUUUUUUACACAAAAGAACCUGGAAUUUGAUCAUGUUUUUGACAGGUAGCUAGUGCUGGUCUAAUGCUAUCUCUUUUUUAUCACUGCAGGCAAGACAAGACAAGUCGGUUCAUUUUUGUCAUGUUCCUCAGCUGAAGACAGGUUGGUGUAGUGUUUAACACUGACACCUCACAGAAGGGUUCUGGUUUCACAUCCCGGUUCUAUCUAACCAGGGCCUUUCUGUGUGGAGUUUGCAUGUUCUCCCUGUGUAUACGUUGGUUCUCUCUGGAUACUCUAUCUUCCUCCCACACUCCAAAAACAUGCAGAUUGGGGUUAGAUAGAUUUGAGACUAAAUUGACCAUAGGUGUAAAUGUGACAGUGAAUGGUUGUGUGUCUCUGUAUGUUGGCCCUGCGAUAUUUUGGCAACCACUCCAGGGUGUACCCCACCUCUCGCCCAAUGUCAGCUGGGAUUGGUUUGAGGCCCCGCCACAACCCUUAAUGGAUAAAGCGGUAUAGAUAAUGGAUGGAUGGAUGUUACCUUCUAAGUAAGAUAGAAGGUGCUUAUAAACAAAUUUCACCACGACUUUGGACUGGAAGAGCUUUGAGAUGGAAUGAAAAUGAUGUUAAAUUUGCCAAGGUUAUACUUUUUAACAAGAGGUUGGAUGAUUUAAUAUUCAAAACAGGAUGGAACAGUUCCACUUGCAACACUUUGAAAUUGAGGGUCUGAUUUCUUUAAAAAAUAAAACAUUCUUCCUAUAUACAGUGGGCCCAAAAGUGGUGGUGGUAUCAUGGUGGUACCUCAAUUACUUUUCUGUCUAUGUUCGAAGCAGCUCUCGUUCACCAAACAGUCUGGAGGAAGAAAGAUGCAAGAGAAAAUCGUAUCCUUAAAAAAAGAUCCAAAAUGAAAUACUGAGAAAGCUUAAGGCAGGCAGAGAUGCAGAAUAAGAAGAGAGGGGGAGUGGGUGCACAAAACAGUAAUUAUCUGGGGAUGGUGAUUUGUACUGACAUUUUCCAAAGCAGACCUCAAACCAUCUGUUUUAAGAUCCCUAAUGUGGUAGUAGUGCAGUGUAGCGCAGAUGGCGAGACAAGAGUGCCGCCCUUGUAACCUUUCAAGCUAAUCAGCUGAUAGGCAAACCUACAGCUGCCUCCUCUCGGAGGGAGCAAGUAAGGUUCAGCCCCAAGUUGCCGAGCCUAAGGUCACAUUCACCUGACCUUCUGUGAGGCUCAGGAUCACAGAUCUACCGUACAGCGUGUCCAAACAGAACCAAGCAGUGUUCUGUCAGCGACACAGCCUCAGUCAAAGGGUGUCACUUACAGCAGAGAAAAAACUGAGUGAUACAAAUUGUAUCCUUACACAGACAUUUGUUUGUUUCUCUGUAAAUCUGGACGUUUUACAGAGAAACUCGAGAUGAAUUGUCCAGAGAGGCUUGUUCACAUGGUUACUCAUAACGAGAUUUGAGGAAGGAAGGACAGACUGAACUGCGAAUGUGUGGUUUCAGCGCAGUAUUAGAUUUUGUGACAUCUCUUCUAUUUCCCAUGUUUUUCUCUGUCCUCAUUGCAUUUUCAAGCUCAUUGAGUGCCGGUAUUUACUUUUCAUCGUCAAGAACAGUGAGUGAGAUGCUGUUCAACACAGAGACGAAAAUGUUUGACAGAUUAUUACUGAUUAUUUGAAUCUGCCACCACAACUAAGGAUCAUCUUGAGGCUUGUUUUCUUGAGAAACUCCUGUACCAUUAACAGAAGAAGAUGCUGGUCCGUUGGCCAGUGUGUUGGUAUCUCAUCUUUAAUUCUUUUUCUGUUCGAGGCCUGCCAAUCUCAACAAACACAAGGAAAUUUAGCAAGUUAACUCCAUGUGGAAGCCAAGUCAAAAACCUUCUACGCUCACCUUCACCUUCCACCCUUUGAUGCUUAGGUGUAAACAGACUACAGUCAUUCCAGUUGAUUUAUUACUGAAAAACCCUCCCUUUCCUUCUCUCCCUCAUUUUUGUUCUUUUUAUACAUAAGAUUGUACAAAGUAGUCCUCUAAUGUUUUCAUAGUGUCUUUUUAUAUGAAAAUAAAUUUUCAAAUG